CGACGCUGGCGGCGUGCCUAACACAUGCAAGUCGUGCGAGAAAGUUCCUUCGGGAGCGAGUAAAGCGGCGCACGGGUGAGUAACACGUAGGUAACCUGCCCCCCAGUCUGGAACAACUAGAGGAAACUCUAGCUAAUGCCGGAUGAGACCACGAUCCCUUCGGGGGUUGCGGCCAAAGAUGGCCUCUACUUGUAAGCUAUCGCUGAGGGAUGGGCCUGCGGGCCAUUAGCUUGUUGGUGAGGUAACGACUCACCAAGGCUGUGAUGGCUAGCUGGUCUGAGAGGAUGACCAGCCACACUGGGACUGAGACACGGCCCAGACUCCUACGGGAGGCAGCAGUGGGGAAUAUUGCGCAAUGGGCGAAAGCCUGACGCAGCGACGCCGCGUGGGUGAUGAAGGCCUUCGGGUCGUAAAGCCCUGUCGCAGGGGAAGAAUAAGCAUCGGUAUAAUACGCCGGUGCCCUGACGGUACCCUGCAAGAAAGCACCGGCUAACUCCGUG
rnacentral:rRNA from 1 species